GGUGCUGUGGCUCAGUGGUAGAGCGCUAGCCUUGAGCUAAAGAGCUGAGGGACAGCGCCC
rfam:Dipodomys ordii contig_7187, whole genome shotgun sequence.